UACGAAGGUGGCAAGCGUUACUCGGAAUUACUAGGCGUAAAGCGCAGGUAGGUGGUUAGAUAAGUCCGUCAUGAAAUCUCCCGGCUUAACUGGGAGGGGUUGAUGGAUACUGUAGAACUUGAGUGUGGGAGAGGUAACUGGAAUUCCAGGUGUAGCGGUGAAAUGCGUAGAUAUCUGGAGGAACACCAAUGGCGAAAGCAGGUUACUGGCCCAAUACUGACACUGAGCUGCGAAAGCUAGGGGAG
rnacentral:rRNA from 1 species